UGGGCAAGCACAGCCAAGGACACGGGGGCCGCUCCGGGUGAUACCCGACCGUGUUUUCACGGCGGAAGCCGAAGGCGCGGCUCAGCCCAACACGCCCGUCCCCCUCCGGCGGCCGCAGCGGGGCCGGGGCCGGCGGGCGUGGCGGGACCGGCGCAGGAGUUGCUGCUUGUUCCCAUCACCGUGCACAUGCUGGGGCAGGCUGUGUCUUCCCAUUGCCCAUGCCCAUGUUGCCUAUGCUCUCUGUGCAGUUGGAGAUAAACAGAUCAGGCACCAGGAACAGUGAAGCUUUCUGCUACUCCCUUCCAAUACUGUUGAAAUUAUUAUUAAUAUUCUGCUUGCACUGCC